rnacentral:rRNA from 1 species
AAAUUGAAGAGUUUGAUCAUGGCUCAGAUUGAACGCUGGCGGCAGGCCUAACACAUGCAAGUCGAACGGUAGCACAGAGAGCUUGCUCUCGGGUGACGAGUGGCGGACGGGUGAGUAAUGUCUGGGAAACUGCCUGAUGGAGGGGGAUAACUACUGGAAACGGUAGCUAAUACCGCAUAACGUCGCAAGACCAAAGAGGGGGACCUUCGGGCCUCUUGCCAUCAGAUGUGCCCAGAUGGGAUUAGCUAGUAGGUGGGGUAAUGGCUCACCUAGGCGACGAUCCCUAGCUGGUCUGAGAGGAUGACCAGCCACACUGGAACUGAGACACGGUCCAGACUCCUACGGGAGGCAGCAGUGGGGAAUAUUGCACAAUGGGCGCAAGCCUGAUGCAGCCAUGCCGCGUGUAUGAAGAAGGCCUUCGGGUUGUAAAGUACUUUCAGCGGGGAGGAAGGUGUUGUGGUUAAUAACCGCAGCAAUUGACGUUACCCGCAGAAGAAGCACCGGCUAACUCCGUGCCAGCAGCCGCGGUAAUACGGAGGGUGCAAGCGUUAAUCGGAAUUACUGGGCGUAAAGCGCACGCAGGCGGUCUGUCAAGUCGGAUGUGAAAUCCCCGGGCUCAACCUGGGAACUGCAUUCGAAACUGGCAGGCUAGAGUCUUGUAGAGGGGGGUAGAAUUCCAGGUGUAGCGGUGAAAUGCGUAGAGAUCUGGAGGAAUACCGGUGGCGAAGGCGGCCCCCUGGACAAAGACUGACGCUCAGGUGCGAAAGCGUGGGGAGCAAACAGGAUUAGAUACCCUGGUAGUCCACGCCGUAAACGAUGUCGACUUGGAGGUUGUGCCCUUGAGGCGUGGCUUCCGGAGCUAACGCGUUAAGUCGACCGCCUGGGGAGUACGGCCGCAAGGUUAAAACUCAAAUGAAUUGACGGGGGCCCGCACAAGCGGUGGAGCAUGUGGUUUAAUUCGAUGCAACGCGAAGAACCUUACCUACUCUUGACAUCCAGAGAACUUAGCAGAGAUGCUUUGGUGCCUUCGGGAACUCUGAGACAGGUGCUGCAUGGCUGUCGUCAGCUCGUGUUGUGAAAUGUUGGGUUAAGUCCCGCAACGAGCGCAACCCUUAUCCUUUGUUGCCAGCGGUCCGGCCGGGAACUCAAAGGAGACUGCCAGUGAUAAACUGGAGGAAGGUGGGGAUGACGUCAAGUCAUCAUGGCCCUUACGAGUAGGGCUACACACGUGCUACAAUGGCGCAUACAAAGAGAAGCGAACUCGCGAGAGCAAGCGGACCUCAUAAAGUGCGUCGUAGUCCGGAUUGGAGUCUGCAACUCGACUCCAUGAAGUCGGAAUCGCUAGUAAUCGUAGAUCAGAAUGCUACGGUGAAUACGUUCCCGGGCCUUGUACACACCGCCCGUCACACCAUGGGAGUGGGUUGCAAAAGAAGUAGGUAGCUUAACCUUCGGGAGGGCGCUUACCACUUUGUGAUUCAUGACUGGGGUGAAGUCGUAACAAGGUAACCGUAGGGGAACCUGCGGUUGGAUCACCUCCUUACCUUAAAGAA